rnacentral:lncRNA from 1 species
CUAGCAAAAUAAAAAGUUUUAACAAAUAAGUACAUAAUAAUGUACGACAUUUCACUUCAAUAUCUUUUAAAAAAAAAGUUAAAAGUGAUAAACAAGUAUACAACAUAAAAAUUCAAGCUAAUGGACUAAAAUUUAUGUCAAUAUUUGCAAAAACAUCUUCUUGAGUUGCAAUGUUCUCAUCUCCUCCAUCUUCUCUCCUAUUCGCAUCAUUUCCAUCAUUUUCACCAUCAUCACCAUCCAAAUCUUCCAAGUUCAAUAUAUCGACAAAAUCAUAAAUUUAACAAAAAGUUAAAAAGAAAAAUCAUAUGUAAUAAAAUUGUAAUAAUAUUUUAUUCAUAAACUAUAUAAUAAAAUAAUU